rnacentral:rRNA from 1 species
AGUGAACGCUGGCGGUAGGCCUAACACAUGCAAGUCGAACGGCAGCACAGUAAGAGCUUGCUCUUACGGGUGGCGAGUGGCGGACGGGUGAGGAAUACAUCGGAAUCUACUUUUUCGUGGGGGAUAACGUAGGGAAACUUACGCUAAUACCGCAUACGACCUACGGGUGAAAGCAGGGGAUCUUCGGACCUUGCGCGAUUGAAUGAGCCGAUGUCGGAUUAGCUAGUUGGCGGGGUAAAGGCCCACCAAGGCGACGAUCCGUAGCUGGUCUGAGAGGAUGAUCAGCCCCACUGGCACUGCGACACGCUCCAGACUCCUCCGGGAGGCAGCAGUGUGGCCUAUUGGACCAUGGGCGCAAGCCUGCUCCAGCCAUACCGCGUGGGUGAAGAAGGCCUUCGUGUUGUAAAGCCCUUUUGUUGGGAAAGAAAAGCAGCAGGUUAAUACCCCGCUGUUCUGACGGUACCCAAAGAAUAAGCACCGGCUAACUUCGUG